rnacentral:rRNA from 1 species
GACGAACGCUGGCGGCGUGCUUAACACAUGCAAGUCGAACGGAAAGGCCCUGCUUUUGUGGGGUGCUCGAGUGGCGAACGGGUGAGUAACACGUGAGUAACCUGCCCUUGACUUUGGGAUAACUUCAGGAAACUGGGGCUAAUACCGGAUAGGAGCUCCUGCUGCAUGGUGGGGGUUGGAAAGUUUCGGCGGUUGGGGAUGGACUCGCGGCUUAUCAGCUUGUUGGUGGGGUAGUGGCUUACCAAGGCUUUGAAGGGUAGCCGGCCUGGGAGGGUGACCGGCCACAUUGGGACUGAGAUACGGCCCAGACUGCUACGGGAGGCAGCAGUGGGGAAUAUUGCACAAUGGGCGGAAGCCUGAUGCAGCAACGCCGCGUGCGGGAUGACGGCCUUCGGGUUGUAAACCGCUUUCGCCUGUGACGAAGCGUGAGUGACGGUAAUGGGUAAAGAAGCACCGGCUAACUACGUG